rnacentral:rRNA from 1 species
CCCUUAGAUGUUCUGGGCCGCACGCGCGCUACACUGAUGCAUUCAACGAGUUUUACCUUGGCCGAGAGGCCUGGGCAAUCUUUUAAACCUGCAUCGUGAUAGGGAUAGAUUAUUGCAAUUAUUAAUCUUGAACGAGGAAUUCCUAGUAAACGCAAAUCAUCAAUUUGCAUUGAUUACGUCCCUGCCCUUUGUGCACACCGCCCGUCGCACCUACCGAUUGAAUGGUCCGGUGAAGCCUCGGGAUUGUGGCCAGUUCACUUUAUUGGGAGUUGGCUGUGAGAACUUGUCUAAACCUUAUCAUUUAGAGGAAGGUGAAGUCGUAACA